GGUCAAGUUAUUAAGGGUGCAGGGCGGAUGCCUUGGCACUAGGAGCCGAUGAAGGACGUGAUAAGCUGCGAUAAGCUUCGGGGAGUUGCACGUAAACUUUGAUCCGAAGAUUUCCGAAUGAGGAAACUCACUUAGAGUAAUGUCUAAGUAUCAUUAAGUGAAUACAUAGCUUAAUGAGGGGAACUCAGGGAACUGAAACAUCUAAGUACCUGAAGGAAGAGAAAGAAAUUCGAUUCCGUAAGUAGCGGCGAGCGAACGCGGAUUAGCCCAAACCAAUAAAGUUUUCUUUAUUGGGGUUGAGGACAUACCACAUAUAAGAGGUCAUUAUAGACGAAGAAGUUUGGAAAAACUCAUCAUAGAAGGUAAUAAUCCUGUAGUCAAAAUAAUAAUUCUUUAGGUAUGAUCCAGAGUACCACGGGACACGUGAAACCCUGUGGGAAGCAGGAGGGACCACCCUCCAAGGCUAAAUACUACCUAGUGACCGAUAGCGUAUAGUACCGUGAGGGAAAGGUGAAAAGAACCCCGGGAGGGGAGUGAAAUAGAACCUGAAACCCUGCACUUACAAGCUGUGGAAGCACAUUUCUUGUGUGACCGCGUACUUUUUGUAGAACGGGCCAACGAGUUACGUUAAGUAGCAAGGUUAAGCACUUAAGGUGCGGAGCCGUAGCGAAAGCGAGUUUUAACUGAGCGUUCAGUUACUUGACGUAGACCCGAAACCGGGCGACCUACCCAUGAGCAGGAUGAAGCGAAAGUAAAAUUUCGUGGAGGUCCGAACCCACGAGCGUUGAAAAGCUCGGGGAUGACUUGUGGGUAGCGGUGAAAUUCCAAUCGAGCCCGGAGAUAGCUGGUUCUCCCCGAAAUAGCUUUAGGGCUAGCCUCAAGGUGAGAGAUACGGAGGUAGAGCACUGAAUGUCCUAGGGGGUAUUGCACCUACCGAAGACUAUCAAACUCCGAAUGCCGUCAUCUUAUACUUGGGAGUCAGACUGUGGGUGAUAAGAUUCAUAGUCGAAAGGGCAACAGCCCAGAUCGUCAGCUAAGGUCCCUAAAUGUAAGUUAAGUGGUAAAGGAUGUGGGAUUGCACAGACAACCAGGAUGUUGGCUUAGAAGCAGCCACUCAUUCAAAGAGUGCGUAAUAGCUCACUGGUCGAGUGAUCCUGCGCCGAAGAUUUCCGGGGCUAAAACUUACUACCGAAGCUACGGCAUCAGUAAUGAUGGGUAGGGGAGCUUCCCAUACGGGUUGAAGCAUGACCGUAAGGACAUGUGGACAGUAUGGGAGUGAGAAUGUUGGCAUGAGUAGCGAGAUGUGGGUGAGAAUCCCACAGGCCGUAAACCCAAGGUUUCCAGGGGAAGGUUCGUCCGCCCUGGGUUAGUCGGGACCUAAGCUGAGGCCGAAAGGCGUAGGUGAUGGACAACAGGUUGAUAUUCCUGUACUACCGAUAACCGUUUGAGAGAAGGGAUGACACAGUAGGAUAAGCUAAGCACACUGUUGGUUAUGUGUGCCCAAGCAUUGAGGCAGUCAAAGUAGGCAAAUCCGCUUUGAUAAUGCUGGGAUGUGAUGGGGAGCGAAAUUUAGUAGCGAAGUAGCUGAUUUCACACUGUCAAGAAAAGUCUCUAUCGAGGUUAAAGGUACCCGUACCGCAAACCGACACAGGUGGGUGAGGAGAGUAUCCUAAGGCCAGCGAGAGAACUGUUGUUAAGGAACUCGGCAAAAUGACCCCGUAACUUAGGGAUAAGGGGUGCCACCAUCAGGUGGCCGCAGAGAAUAGGCCCAAGCGACUGUUUACCAAAAACAUAGGUUUCUGCUAAGUCGCAAGACGAUGUAUAGGAGCUGACGCCUGCCCGGUGCUGGAAGGUUAAGGGGAUCUGUUAGAGCAAUCGAAGCAGUGAACUUAAGCCCCAGUAAACGGCGGCCGUAACUAUAACGGUCCUAAGGUAGCGAAAUUCCUUGUCGGGUAAGUUCCGACCCGCACGAAAGGCGUAACGAUUUGGGCACUGUCUCAACAACAGACUCGGUGAAAUUGUAAUUCCGGUGAAGAUGCCGGAUACCUGCGACAGGACGGAAAGACCCCAUGGAGCUUUACUGUAGCUUGACAUUGGGUCUUGGUACUACAUGUACAGGAUAGGUGGGAGGCUUUGAAACCAGGACGCCAGUUUUGGCGGAGCCAUCCUUGGGAUACCACCCUUGUAGUACUGGGACUCUAACCAUAGGCCAUGAAUCUGGUCUUGGGACACUGUCAGGUGGGCAGUUUGACUGGGGCGGUCGCCUCCCAAAAGGUAACGGAGGCGCUCAAAGGUUCUCUCAGUACGGUCGGAAAUCGUACGUAGAGUGUAAAGGCAAAAGAGAGCUUGAUUGCAAGACAUACAGGUCGAGCAAGGAUGAAAAUCGGACUUAGUGAUCCGGUGGUUCUGCGUGGAAGGGCCAUCGCUCAACGGAUAAAAGCUACCCUGGGGAUAACAGGCUUAUCUCCCCCAAGAGUCCACAUCGACGGGGAGGUUUGGCACCUCGAUGUCGGCUCAUCACAUCCUGGGGCUGUAGUAGGUCCCAAGGGUUGGGCUGUUCGCCCAUUAAAGUGGUACGCGAGCUGGGUUCAGAACGUCGUGAGACAGUUCGGUCCCUAUCCGUCGCAGGCGUAGGAAAUUUGAGAAGACCUGUCCUUAGUACGAGAGGACCGGGAUGGACGUACCUCUGGUGUACCAGUUGUCCUGCCAAGGGCAUGGCUGGGUAGCUAUGUACGGAAUGGAUAAGCGCUGAAAGCAUCUAAGCGCGAAGCCAACUUCAAGAUAAGAUUUCCCACCGCAAGGGUAAGACCCCAGAAAGACUAUCUGGUUGAUAGGUCGAAGGUGUAAGUGCAGCAAUGUAUUUAGCUUAUCGAUACUAAUAGGUCGAGGACUUGACCAA
rfam:Clostridium difficile 630 complete genome